rnacentral:rRNA from 1 species
AUUGAACGCUGGCGGCAUGCCUUACACAUGCAAGUCGAACGGCAGCACGGGAGCAAUCCUGGUGGCGAGUGGCGAACGGGUGAGUAAUGUAUCGGAACGUGCCCAGUCGUGGGGGAUAACGUAGCGAAAGCUACGCUAAUACCGCAUACGAUCUAUGGAUGAAAGCGGGGGACCGUAAGGCCUCGCGCGAUUGGAGGGGCCGAUAUCAGAUUAGGUAGUUGGUGGGGUAAAGGCCUACCAAGCCGACGAUCUGUAGCUGGUCUGAGAGGACGACCAGCCACACUGGGACGGAGACACGGCCCAGACUCCUACGGGAGGCAGCAGUGGGGAAUUUUGGACAAUGGGCGCAAGCCUGAUCCAGCAAUGCCGCGUGCAGGAUGAAGGCCUUCGGGUUGUAAACUGCUUUUGUACGGAGCGAAAAGGCUCUCUCUAAUACAGGGGGCUCAUGACGGUACCGUAAGAAUAAGCACCGGCUAACUACGUGCCAGCCGCCGCUGUAAAAC